rnacentral:misc_RNA from 1 species
AAGUCGUAACAAGGUUUCCGUAGGUGAACCUGCGGAAGGAUCAUUAUCGAGAUAGGGCCUUCGGGUCCGACCUCCAACCCUCUAUCUACCUUCUUAUGUAGCCUCGGCGGGCCGCCGACGCCCUCACGGGCGCAGGCCGUCGGCAUUCGUGCUCUCGAGCGCCCGCCAGAGGACCACACAAACCCUGCUCAUCGUAGACUUCUGAGUGAGAACACAAUAACUUCAAAU